rnacentral:snoRNA from 1 species
UCCUCUCUGCAUGAAUAUGGUAAAGAAAUGGCCAACCAUUGAGCCAUCAAGAAGGGGCAGAGUAAAAACACCACUUUUGGGUGAAGUGGCAGCAUGUGUUGUUUUGCUUCAAUCGGUGUGUGACAUGU